CAAUAGCGUAUAUUAACGUUGCUGCAGUUAAAAAGCUCGUAGUUGGAUUUCUGGAGGGAGCGUCGGCCCGUAUUUACGAGUGCGUGACGUCUCUGUCCAUCCUUGCGGGAAGGCACGGCAUUGAUUUGUUGUGUCGGAUCGCAUCAUUUACUGUGAAAAAAUUAGAGUGUUCAAAGCAGGCUUUCGCUUGAAUACAUUAGCAUGGAAUAAUAAGAUAGGACUUUGGUGCUAUUUUGUUGGUUGAGCCUAAAGUAAUGAUUAAUAGGGAUAGUUGGGGGCACCUGUAUUGCGUUGUCAGAGGUGAAAUUCUUGGAUUUACGCAAGACAAACAGCUGCGAAANCGNNNGCCAAGGAUGUUUUCAUNAA
rnacentral:rRNA from 1 species